rnacentral:rRNA from 1 species
AUUGAACGCUGGCGGCAGGCCUAACACAUGCAAGUCGAACGAGUGGCGGAUGCGUGAGUAAUGUCUGGGAAACUGCCUGAUGGAGGGGGAUAACUACUGGAAACGGUAGCUAAUACCGCAUACCAUCAGAUGUGCCCUGAUGGGAUUAGCUUGUUUGUGGGUUAACGGCUCUCCAAGGCUACGAUCCCUAGCCGGUCUGAGAGGAUCACAGGCCACACUGGAACGGAGAAACGGGCCAGACUCCUACGGGAGGCAGCAGUGGGGAAUAUUGCACAAUGGGCGAAAGCCUGAUGAAGACAUGCCGCGUGUAGGAAAAAGGCCUGCGGGUUGUAAGGUACUUUCAGCGGGAAGGCGUUACCCGCAGAAGAAGCGCCGGCUAACUCCGUGCCAGCAGCCGCGGUAAUAC